GACGAACGCUGGCGGCGUGCCUAAUACAUGCAAGUCGAGCGAACGGACGAUAAGCUUGCUUGUCUGAUGUUAGCGGCGGACGGGUGAGUAACACGUGGAUAACCUACCUAUAAGAGUGGGAUAACUUCGGGAAACGGGAUCUAAUACCGGAUAAGAUUUUGAAGCGCAUGGUUCAAAAGUGAGAGACGGUGUUUCUGGCUCUUAUAGAGGGAUCUCCGCUUCAUUAGCUAGUUGUUAAGGUAACGGGCUAUCAAGGCAACGAGGCAUAGCCGAACUGAGAGGGUGGUAGGCCACACGAGAACUGGGCCACGGUCCAGGCUACUGCGGGAGGGACCAGUAGCGAAUCUUACGCAGUGGGCGAGAACAUGACGGAGCAAGCCCGAGUGAGAUGUGAAGAUCUUCGGAUCGUAAAACUCUCUUAUUAGGGAAGAACCUAUGUGUAAGUAAAUGUGCACAUAUUGACGGUACCUGAUCAGAAAGCACCGGCUAACUACGUG
rnacentral:rRNA from 1 species